rnacentral:rRNA from 1 species
AGCGAACGCUGGCGGCAGGCUUAACACAUGCAAGUCGAACGCCCCGCCAGGGAGUGGCAGACGGGUGAGUAACACGUGGGAACGUACCCUUUGGUUCGGAAUAACUUGGGGAAACUCACGCUAAUACCGGAUAAGCCCUUAUGGGGAAAGGUUUACUGCCGACGGAUCGGCCCGCGUCUGAUUAGCUAGGUGGUGAGGUAAUGGCUCACCAAGGCGACGAUCAGUAGCUGGUCUGAGAGGAUGAUCAGCCACACUGGGACUGAGACACGGCCCAGACUCCUACGGGAGGCAGCAGUGGGGAAUAUUGGACAAUGGGGGCAACCCUGAUCCAGCCAUGCCGCGUGAGUGAUGAAGGCCUUAGGGUUGUAAAGCUCCUUUACCCGGGACGAUAAUGACUGUACCGGGAGAAUAAGCCCCGGCUAACUUCGUGCCAGCCGCCGCGGUAA